rfam:Gramella flava JLT2011, complete genome.
AUACAAGCUAGAUAAGGGCGUAUGGGGGAUGCCUAGGCUCUCAGAGGCGAAGAAGGACGUGAUAAGCUGCGAAAAGCUGCGGGGAUUGGCACAUACAAGUUGAUCCGCAGAUAUCCGAAUGGGGCAACCCACUUAGUUGAAGGCUAAGUAUCCGCAAGGAGGCGAACCCGGGGAACUGAAACAUCUAAGUACCCGGAGGAAGAGAAAACAAUAGUGAUUGCGCUAGUAGUGGCGAGCGAACGCGCAGUAGCCCAAACCAAUGAGUUUACGGACUUAUUGGGGUUGUAGGACUGCAAUAUAGAUUGUAUCAUGAACUAGAAUCAUCUGGAAAGAUGAGCCAUAGACGGUGACAGCCCGGUAUGGGUAAGUGCAUAUAAUUUUAGCAGGAUCCUGAGUAGUGCGGGGCACGUGAAACCCUGUAUGAAUCCGGCGGGACCAUCCGCCAAGGCUAAAUACUCCUGAGAGACCGAUAGUGAACCAGUACCGUGAGGGAAAGGUGAAAAGAACCCUGAACAAGGGAGUGAAAUAGAACCUGAAACCAUACGCUUACAAGCGGUCGGAGCCCCUUUGGGGUGACGGCGUGCCUUUUGCAUAAUGAGCCUACGAGUUACCGUUUCCAGCAAGGUUAAGCACUUCAGGUGUGGAGCCGUAGCGAAAGCGAGUCUGAAUAGGGCGCUUUAGUUGGUAGUGGUAGACGCGAAACCGUGUGAUCUACCCUUGGGCAGGUUGAAGCUGUGGUAACACAUAGUGGAGGACCGAACCCGUUGACGUUGAAAAGUCUUGGGAUGACCUGAGGGUAGGGGUGAAAGGCCAAUCAAACUCGGAAAUAGCUCGUACUCCCCGAAAUGCAUUUAGGUGCAGCGAUAUAGUUAGUUUUAUAGAGGUAGAGCUACUGAUUGGAUGCGGGGGCUUCACCGCCUACCAAUUCCUGACAAACUCCGAAUGCUAUAAAAUGGUAUAUAUCAGUGAGGGCAUGGUGCUAAGGUCCAUGUCCGAGAGGGAAAGAACCCAGACCAUCAGCUAAGGUCCCCAAAUGUAUGUUAAGUUGAAUAAACGCGGUUGGACUGCCCAGACAGCUAGGAUGUUGGCUUGGAAGCAGCCAUUCAUUUAAAGAGUGCGUAACAGCUCACUAGUCGAGCGGUCCGGCAUGGAUAAUAAUCGGGCAUAAACAUACUACCGAAGCUAUGGAUUACAGUUUUAACUGUAGUGGUAGGGGAAGCAUUGUAACAGAGGCGAAGGUGUACUGCGAGGUAUGCUGGAUUGGUUACAAAAGAAAAUGUAGGCAUAAGUUAACGAUAAUGCAGGCGAGAAACCUGCACACCGAAAGACCAAGGUUUCCCCAGCUAUGCUAAUCAGCUGGGGGUUAGUCGGGACCUAAGCGAACCCGAAGGGGGUAGUCGAUGGACAAGCAGUUAAUAUUCUGCUACUUGCCCCAUGUUAAAGCGGACGGAGCGUAAAGUUGGUGCGUACUGACGGAAUAGUACGUUGAAGGGAGUGGUAACACCUCGAUAGUACACGAAAGCUACGGCCGAGUGAUAAUCCAGCGGCGCGACUUCCAAGAAAAGCGAGUGGAGGCAACCGUACCGUAAACCGACACAGGUAGUUGGGAUGAGAAUUCUAAGGUGCUCGAGAGAUUCAUGGCUAAGGAACUAGGCAAAAUUGGCCCGUAACUUCGGGAGAAGGGUCGCCACAGCAAUGUGGGCCGCAGUGAAAAGAUCCAGGCGACUGUUUAUCAAAAACACAGGACUCUGCUAAAUCGAAAGAUGACGUAUAGGGUCUGACACCUGCCCGGUGCCGGAAGGUUAAGGGGAG